rnacentral:rRNA from 1 species
CCUACGGGAGACUGCAGUGGGGAAUAUUGCGCAAUGGGGGAAACCCUGAUGCAGCAACGCCGCGUGAAGGAUGACGGCUUUCGGGUUGUAAACUUCUUUCUUCAGGGACGAUGAUAGUGAUGGUACCUGAGUAAGCAACCCCGGCCAACUACGUGCCAGCAGCCGCGGUAAUUCGUAGGUGGCAAGCGUUCUCCGGAUUUACUGGGUGUAAAGGGAGCGUAGACGGAUGUGCAAGUCUGAAGUGAAAUGCGGGGGCUCAACCCUCGGGCUGCUCUUGAAACUGUACGUCUAGAGUGCAGGAGAGGAGAAUGGAAUUCCUAGUGUAGCGGUGAAAUGCGUAGAGAUUAGGAAGAACACCAGUGGCGAAGGCGACUUACUGGACUGUAACUGACGCUGAGGCUCGAAAGCGUGGGGAGCAAACAGGAUUAGAUACCCUGGUAGUC